rnacentral:misc_RNA from 1 species
GAUGAAGAACGUAGUGAAAUGCGAUACGUAAUGUGAAUUGCAGAAUUCAGUGAAUCAUCGAAUCGUUGAACGCACAUUGCGCCCCUUGGUAUUCCGAGGGGCAUGCCUGUUCGAGCGUCAUUAUAACCCCUCAAGCUCAGCUUGGUGUUGGGGCCUGCUGCACUGGCAGCCCUUAAAAUCAGUGGCGGCGCCAUCUGGCUCUAAGCGUAGUAAUUCUUCUCGCUAUGGAGUCCUGGUGGAUGCUUGCCAUCAACCCCCAAUUUUUCUAUGGUUGACCUCGGAUCAGGUAGGGAUACCCGCUGAACUUAAGCAUAUCAAUAAGCGGAGGA